rnacentral:misc_RNA from 1 species
GAACUUCUCUCUAUGAAUAUGGAAAGCAGGAAUUUCGCGAAGUUGCAGGAUUUUUAAAUAGAUAUAUAACUCAAACUCCUAUUUCUCGGCCCGGAGAGCCGUAUGAGAUUUCAUCAAUGGUGGCAUUCCUAUGCUUCCCUACUGCUUCAUUUAUCACCGGCCAGAUUAUUGUUGUUGAUGGAGGAUUCACCAUCAAUGGUUUCUGCCCCCCAAACAAUAGCUAAA